rnacentral:rRNA from 1 species
GACGAACGCUGGCGGCGUGCUUAUCACAUGCAAGUCGAACGGAAAGGCCCUGCUUUUGUGGGGUGCUCGAGUGGCGAACGGGUGAGUAACACGUGAGUAACCUGCCCUUGACUUUGGGAUAACUUCAGGAAACUGGGGCUAAUACCGGAUAGGAGCUCCUGCUGCAUGGUGGGGGUUGGAAAGUUUCGGCGGUUGGGGAUGGACUCGCGGCUUAUCAGCUUGUUGGUGGGGUAGUGGCUUACCAAGGCUUUGACGGGUAGCCGGCCUGAGAGGGUGACCGGCCACAUUGGGACUGAGAUACGGCCCAGACUCCUACGGGAGGCAGCAGUGGGGAAUAUUGCACAAUGGGCGGAAGCCUGAUGCAGCAACGCCGCGUGCGGGAUGACGGCCUUCGGGUUGUAAACCGCUUUCGCCUGUGACGAAGCGUGAGUGACGGUAAUGGGUAAAGAAGCACCGGCUAACUACGUGCCAGCAGCCGCGGUGAUACGUAGGGUGCGAGCGUUGUCCGGAUUUAUUGGGCGUAAAGGGCUCGUAGGUGGUUGAUCGCGUCGGAAGUGUAAUCUUGGGGCUUAACCCUGAGCGUGCUUUCGAUACGGGUUGACUUGAGGAAGGUAGGGGAGAAUGGAAUUCCUGGUGGAGCGGUGGAAUGCGCAGAUAUCAGGAGGAACACCAGUGGCGAAGGCGGUUCUCUGGGCCUUUCCUGACGCUGAGGAGCGAAAGCGUGGGGAGCGAACAGGCUUAGAUACCCUGGUAGUCCACGCUGUAAACGGUGGGUACUAGGUGUGGGGUCCAUUCCACGGGUUCCGUGCCGUAGCUAACGCUUUAAGUACCCCGCCUGGGGAGUACGGCCGCAAGGCUAAAACUCAAAGGAAUUGACGGGGCCCCGCACAAGCGGCGGAGCAUGCGGAUUAAUUCGAUGCAACGCGUAGAACCUUACCUGGGUUUGACAUGGAUCGGGAGUGCUCAGAGAUGGGUGUGCCUCUUUUGGGGUCGGUUCACAGGUGGUGCAUGGCUGUCGUCAGCUCGUGUCGUGAGAUGUUGGGUUAAGUCCCGCAACGAGCGCAACCCUUGUUCACUGUUGCCAGCACGUUAUGGUGGGGACUCAGUGGAGACCGCCGGGGUCAACUCGGAGGAAGGUGGGGAUGACGUCAAGUCAUCAUGCCCCUUAUGUCCAGGGCUUCACGCAUGCUACAAUGGCUGGUACAGAGAGUGGCGAGCCUGUGAGGGUGAGCGAAUCUCGGAAAGCCGGUCUCAGUUCGGAUUGGGGUCUGCAACUCGACCUCAUGAAGUCGGAGUCGCUAGUAAUCGCAGAUCAGCAACGCUGCGGUGAAUACGUUCCCGGG